rnacentral:lncRNA from 1 species
UUUUUAGUAAGAGAGGUCCAUUCUUGAUCUUUUGGCCCAAUUUCAAGACCAACAAGACUUAACCCAAUACCCCAUCAACACCCCAAUCUUCUUCAUCAUCUACUACAACAUAAACCCUAGAUAUAAGGGAGGAGGGAUCCAUGGCAGCUUUCUUAAGACACCACCCAAAAACCUAGCUGAACCCUAGCACCCUUAGAGACCCCAGCCGCCCUCAACUUGCCAUAACUACCCCAAACCGACGAACCAGCCCCGCCAGCCAUGCCGCCAGUCCACCAGAAAACACAGUUCCCAUCCAUCGAGCAGCCCAUCUUCUUCCUCAGCUGAACGACCAAACGACCCCUGACCUCUCCAACACCACCAAUAUCUCCGCCGCCAGACCACCCUAGCUACUGGACCUCCAUCUUCAGCAACCUAAUCUCUAUGCUAGCCACACCCUCACCAACAAAACUUCAUCGUCGGACCUCCCUUCACCACGCAACAGCCAUAAACGAAGCUUCACCCUCACAAAACCACCGAAGCUUCCUCUUCCUCCAAAGAACCUAGAAAAAGCUAGGCUGCUUCUUCUUCUACCGGGAACCAUCGCCGCUGUCAACUUUUCGACGAUCAAUGAAGCUUCGUGGCUUUAGUCCUCUCCUCUCCUCCAUGUGCGACGAGUUUCAGAUCUGGUCGAGUGUUUGGUUAAAUCCGGUGACCCUCCAUUGAAUUCGGCGAAUUGCUAUCACGCCAUUCUCGUUUCUCGUCUUUUCUCUCUCUCUUUUCACUGUUAAAUUGUCGGAAAUGACGAGAUCCAGUAGCUUUGACUGCCUCUAAUGUUUUCCUGCUCGUACAUUCAUUUGGUUGACUCUACUGGAUUUCGUCAUCGACAAGUUUUCAAUUUGCAACCGGUGGAGUUUCAUUUGAGUCGAGUUCGCCGGUUCGAGGUUCCGUCGAUAACUUGUUAUGCUUCUUCAUCAGGUGAAAAAACUUAAUUCCUUUGAUCUUCAAUUAAAAUUCUUCAAGUUUGUUGAAUCUUCAAGUUCACUUUUGUGUGUUGAUCUAUUUUCGUUCUGUCCGUAGACCUCUAAUUCGAUUGUUAUCAUAUUGAAAUAGCAAUAAAAAGGGCGUGUAUAUUUGUUAUAAACUGGAUCUGCGUUUCUGCAUUGAAUGAAACUUUUGUUGUCAUUGUUUGUUCUGAUUCGUGAAGUGAAGUAUCGAUUCUCUGUCAAUACUUUGCACUAAAGUACUAAUUUAGUUCUCUAGUGGAUUGUUGUGCUCUAUUCUGGAGACUAGGAUUUGAAUUAGCAACAUCUAAUUGAUAUGUGCGUUGUUGUAUAUAAAGGAACAAAGCUGUACAAGUGACCAUUUUUGGGUAUAACUUGGCAAAUUGCAAUUGACGUGGGCAUAAAGACGAUAACAAAGUAAAAUUUCUUUUACAUUGUCACUUUCUAUAAGCACAAUAUAGGUUAAAUAAUCUCUUAAACAUAGUUGUGAGGUCUUCUACAUAUUAAAUGUUGUUAUAAUGCCAAAACAUUCAUAUUUUUCAAGUGGCUUGCACAGUCUGGUCUAAGCUAGUUCACACUCCAUGGAGUUUGCAAAGUGGUGGCCAGUUGUUGCUAUUAAUGCAAGUUCAUCCCAGAUUAGUACCAUGUAGCAAAUAUGCUUAUUUAUGAGUUCAUGUCACUUAUUACUUAUAAACAUAUGUGGUUUGCUUUAGUUGAAUACAUUCUUUUGAAAUAAAUUAAUGUGUGCCAUGCCAAAUAAAAUUCCAGAACCUA